rnacentral:piRNA from 1 species
UCACAUUCCCGUUUAAAAAAU